rnacentral:rRNA from 1 species
GAUGAACGCUAGCGGCAGGCUUAACACAUGCAAGUCGAGGGGUAACAGGGGAAAGCUUGCUUUUUUGCUGACGACCGGCGCACGGGUGAGUAACGCGUAUAGAACCUACCUUUUACAGGGGAAUAGCCCAGAGAAAUUUGGAUUAAUACCCUAUAGUAUUAUUGAGUGGCAUCAUUUAAUAAUUAAACAUUUAUGGGUAAAAGAUGGCUAUGCGUUCUAUUAGCUAGAUGGUAAGGUAACGGCUUACCAUGGCAACGAUAGAUAGGGGUCCUGAGAGGGAGAUCCCCCACACUGGUACUGAGACACGGACCAGACUCCUACGGGAGGCAGCAGUGAGGAAUAUUGGACAAUGGAGGCAACUCUGAUCCAGCCAUGCCGCGUGCAGGAAGACGGCCCUAUGGGUUGUAAACUGCUUUUAUACGGGAAGAAACCCAACUACGUGUAGUUGGCUGACGGUACCGUAAGAAUAAGCACCGGCUAACUCCGUGCCAGCAGCCGCGGUAAUACGGAGGGUGCAAGCGUUAUCCGGAAUCAUUGGGUUUAAAGGGUCCGUAGGCGGGCUAAUAAGUCAGGGGUGAAAUCCAACAGCUUAACUGUUGAACUGCCUUUGAUACUGUUAGUCUUGAAUUAUAUGGAAGUAGAUAGAAUGUGUAGUGUAGCGGUGAAAUGCUUAGAGAUUACACAGAAUACCGAUUGCGAAGGCAGUCUACU